UACGUAGGGUGCAAGCGUUAAUCGGAAUUACUGGGCGUAAAGCGUGCGCAGGCGGUGUAUGUAAGACAGAUGUGAAAUCCCCGGGCUCAACCUGGGAACUGCAUUUGUGACUGCAGUCGCUGGAGUACGGCAGGAGGGGGAUGGAAUUCCGCGUGUAGCAGUAGAAGUGCGUAGAUAUGCGGAGAACACCAAUGGCGAAGGCAACUCCCCGUGGGCCUGUACUGACGCUCAUGCACGAAAGCGUGGGGAGCAAACAGGAUU
rnacentral:rRNA from 1 species